CUUUAAAAAUCCGGAACAAGCUGAAAAUUGAAACGACGUAUCGUUUUCAUUCUCCGUAAUAAGAAUGAAGUUAACGAUAUGUUCGAGUCUCUCAAAUGCUUGCAGCUCAAAGUUGUCCYWCGGGACGCUUGUGG
rnacentral:sRNA from 1 species